rnacentral:rRNA from 1 species
AUUGAACGCUGGCGGCAGGCUUAACACCUGCAAGUCGAGCGAGCGGCGGACGGGUGAGUAAUGUCUGGGAAACUGCCUGAUGAAGGGGGAUAACUACUGGAAACGGUAGCUAAUACCGCAUACCAUCAGAUGUGCCCAGAUGGGAUUAGCUAGUAGGUGGGGUAAUGGCUCACCUAGGCGACGAUCCCUAGCUGGUCUGAGAGGAUGACCAGCCACACGGGAACGGAGAAACGGUCCAGACUCCUACGGGAGGCAGCAGUGGGGAAUAUUGAACAAUGGGCGAAAGCAUGAUGCAGACAUGCCGAGUGUGUGAAGAAGGCCUUCGGGUUGUAAAGCACUUUCAGCGAGGAGGCGUUACUAGCAGAAGAAGAACCGGCUAACUCCGUGCCAGCAGCCGCGGUAAUAC